UAGUCCACGCCGUAAACGAUGAUUACUCGAUAUUGGCGAUAUAAUGUCAGUGUCCAAGCGAAAGCAUUAAGUAAUCCACCUGGGGAGUACGUUCGCAAGAAUGAAACUCAAAGGAAUUGACGGGGGCCCGCACAAGCGGUGGAGCAUGUGGUUUAAUUCGAUGAUACGCGAGGAACCUUACCAGGGCUUAAAUGUAGAACGACAAACUCAGAAAUGAGUCUUUCUUCGGACGUUUUACAAGGUGCUGCAUGGUUGUCGUCAGCUCGUGCCGUGAGGUGUCGGGUUAAGUCCCAUAACGAGCGCAACCCCUAUUCUUAGUUGCCAGCGAGUAAUGUCGGGGACUCUAGGAAAACUGCCAGUGUAAGCUGUGAGGAAGGUGGGGAUGACGUCAAAUCAUCACGGCCCUUACGUCCUGGGCUACACACGUGCUACAAUGGUCGUGACAAAGAGUUGCUAGUCUGCGAAGGCAAGCCAAUCUCAUAAACGCGGCCUUAGUUCGGAUUGCAGG
rnacentral:rRNA from 1 species